rnacentral:rRNA from 1 species
CUACGGGGGGCAGCAGUGAGGAAUCUUCCGCAAUGGGCGAAAGCCUGACGGAGCGACACCGCGUGGAGGAUGACGGCCUUUUGGUUGUAAACUCCUUUUCUGAGGGAAUAAAUGAUGAAGGUACCUCAGGAAUAAGCACCGGCAAACUACGUGCCAGCAGCCGCGGUAAUACGUAGGGUGCGAGCGUUAUCCGGAAUUAUUGGGCGUAAAGCGUGCGCAGGCGGUUGGAAAAGUUUGUGGUUAAAUCCGGUCGCUCAACGAUCGAAUCGUCACAAAAACUUUCCAGCUAGAGAAUGAUAGAGGCAACUGGAAUUCUGCAUGUAGGGGUAAAAUCCGUUGAUAUGCAGAGGGACACCAAAAGCGAAGGCAGGUUGCUGGGUCAUUUCUGACGCUGUUGCACGAAAGCGUGGGGAGCAAACAGGAUUAGAUACCCUGGUAGUC